AUACUACAAAAACACAGCAAAUGUAUAGCUGCCCUUAAGGCACUUGAGUUUAGAUAAAGUUUAGGUUGUAGGCAAAACAGAAGUUCCUAGACAGGAAGCUUGAGAUUGUUACAUGGAGUUCUAUCAGAGAGAUUUUAAGCAAAGUCCAAAAGAAACUGGCACUCCCACAAUGCAGCUGGUACCUGUAGAGAUUUGGGCUCCACCAGUCUGCCACUCUUAGUGCUGCCAGCGCUCAUGGUGAUGGCCGUGGAUAAAGAUGACCGACGACUGCGAGCUGAUGAUGACCCAGUAUCAUACCUUUCCUCUGUGUGGUUUCCAGCUCUGUUCUGAGCUGUGUCUCUGAAGCUGGAAGCUCAGGUUUGGACUCUGAGCUCUGUGGGGAGUUGUCCAGCUGGUUGCC